rnacentral:rRNA from 1 species
GAUGAACGCUGGCGGCGUGCCUAAUACAUGCAAGUCGAGCGAACAGAUGAGGAGCUUGCUCCUCUGACGUUAGCGGCGGACGGGUGAGUAACACGUGGAUAACCUACCUAUAAGACUGGGAUAACUACGGGAAACCGGAGCUAAUACCGGAUAAUAUAUUGAACCGCAUGGUUCAAUAGUGAAAGACGGUUUUGCGGUCACUUAUAGAUGGAUCCGCGCCGCAUUAGCGAGUUGGUAAGGUAACGGCUUACCAAGGCAACGAUGCGUAGCCGACCUGAGAGAGUGAUCGGCGACACUGGAACUGAGACACGGUCCAGACUCCUACGGGAGGCAGAAGUGGGGAAUCUUCCGCAAUGGGCGAAAGCGUGACGGAGCAACGCCGCGUGAGUGAUGAAGGUCUUCGGAUCGUAAAACUCUGUUAUUAGGGAAGAACAAAUGUGUAAGUAACUAUGCACGUCUUGACGGUACCUAAUCAGAAAGCCACGGCUAACUACGUG